rnacentral:tRNA from 1 species
GGAGUUGUAGCUCAGUGGUAGAGCACUCACCUAGUAUGUAUGAGGCACUGGGUUUGAUCCUCAGCACCA